UACGGAGGGGGCUAGCGUUGUUCGGAAUUACUGGGCGUAAAGCGCACGUAGGCGGCUUUGUAAGUUAGAGGUGAAAGCCCGGGGCUCAACUCCGGAAUUGCCUUUAAGACUGCAUCGCUAGAAUUGUGGAGAGGUAAGUGGAAUUCCGAGUGUAGAGGUGAAAUUCGUAGAUAUUCGGAAGAACACCAGUGGCGAAGGCGACAUACUGGUCCGUUACUGACGGCUGAGGCUCGAAAGCGUGGGGAGCAAACAGG
rnacentral:rRNA from 1 species